rnacentral:rRNA from 1 species
UACGUAGGGGGCGAGCGUUGUCCGGAAUUAUUGGGCGUAAAGAGCUCGUAGGCGGCUCGUUGCGUCGGCUGUGAAAACCCGCAGCUCAACUGUGGGCUGCAGCCGAUACGGGCGGGCUGGAGUUCGGUAGGGGAGACUGGAAUUCCUGGUGUAGCGGUGAAAUGCGCAGAUAUCAGGAGGAACACCGGUGGCGAAGGCGGUUCUCUGGGCAUUACCUGACGCUGAGGAGCGAAAGUGUGGGGAGCGAACAGG